rnacentral:sRNA from 1 species
UGCAUCUGAGGCCUGCGAGGAUGAGAACCUCCGGGGGCAGGAGGUUCGACUCGAGCGAAGCGAGAGAACGUUGCGUCAGCAACGGCCCGCAGGGUGAGCCACGAAGUGGUGAGUCAUCCUCUAUCACCGACCA